rnacentral:lncRNA from 1 species
CUGCGAUGGGUGAAGUGGAGGUCUGGUGGAGGUGGGGUCUUCGGGAGAGAUGACGGGGAGAUUGAAAAAAAAAGACUGUGGCCGGUUGAGGGAGAAGAAACAAAAAUUCAAAAAAGUCAGGGGCUGGCUUGGGUGUGUUGGAAAAAUGAGGGAACGGCGCUGGCAAAGGGGGGACGUAUGGCUGGCUUCAGAAAAAUGCAAGGUUGGGGGCUGUCUUGGCUUCUGGUUUUGGGAGAAGAAAAGGAGAAAGGAGAAAAUUCAACAGGGGCUGGGGAUCGUGGGUCUCUGCCCCCUGCUCUUGGGACCCGUCGAAAAAAUGGUUCCAACGUCUUCCCCCC